rnacentral:rRNA from 1 species
AGAGUUUGAUCAUGGCUCAGGACGAACGCUGGCGGCGUGCUUAACACAUGCAAGUCGAGCGGAAAGGCCCUUUCGGGGGUACUCGAGCGGCGAACGGGUGAGUAACACGUGAGUAAUCUGCCCUUGGCUUUGGGAUAACUACCGGAAACGGUGGCUAAUACCGGAUAUGACCAUGCUCGGCAUCGGGUGUGGUGGAAAGUUUUUUCGGCCAGGGAUGUGCUCGCGGCCUAUCAGCUUGUUGGUGGGGUAAUGGCCUACCAAGGCUUCGACGGGUAGCCGGCCUGAGAGGGUGACCGGCCACACUGGGACUGUGACACGGCCCAGACUCCUACGGGAGGCAGCAGUGGGGAAUAUUGGACAAUGGGCGGAAGCCUGAUCCAGCAACGCCGCGUGAGGGAUGACGGCCUUCGGGUUGUAAACCUCUUUCAGUACCGACGAAGCGCCGAUGAUGGUGGUGACGGUAGGUACAGAAGAAGCACCGGCCAACUACGUG